UAGCUGGGAAUACAGGCGCACACCACCAUGCCCAGCUAAUUUUUGCAUUUUUAGUAGAGACGGGGUUUCACCAUACUAGUCAGGCUGGUCUCGAACUCCUGACCUCAGGUGAUCCACCCACCUCGGCCUCCCAAAGUUUGCAAACGAUGCAUCCAACAAAGGGCUAAUAUCCAGAAUCUACAAGGAACUCAAACAAACCAGCCAGAAAAAUAAAUAAUCCCAUCAAAAAGUAGGCAAAUGACAUGAAUAGACAUUUCUCAAAAGAAGAUAUACAAAUGGCCAGCAAAUAUAUGAAGAAAUGCUCAACAUUACUAAUCAUUAGGGAAAUGCAAAUUAAAAUCACAAAGAGAUACCACCUUACCCCAGCCAGACCACCAUUA
rnacentral:lncRNA from 10 species